rnacentral:tRNA from 1 species
GCAGGAGUGGCGUAAAGGUAGCGCAACUGAUUUGUAAUCAGUAGAUUGUUGGUUCAACUCCGACCUUCUGCUCCA